CAAAACUCUUAACUCUGAGCCAAGGUGAUUCUGAGAAUGAGUGGUCCUCACUUUAAGGCCUAUAUCAGUCUAACCUGACAAGUCCAAGACACCCACUGGGUGCUGGAAAGAGUGCAGAGAAGCUUUCCUAGUGGACUUCCCGGAGGCCAGGGGAGGGCCCCUCGCUCCUCCCAAGAGGGAUGAAACACCAGGAUAUGGGAAACUUUCCUGAUUCAGCCAGCCCUUGGAUGUCAAGGAGACAAACGCUGGACUGGAGCUCCGGCAUAAAAGGAGAUGUGCCAUUUUCAUAUGUUCCACACAUACUCAGAGAACCUGCUUGGAAUAUUUUUGCUGAUGAAAUUUUCUGGGUUGUAACAUUCAUCUCUUUGAAAAGCUUGCUUCCUAUAACCCCACGUGGAGGUUUGUGCUUUUACUUCUCUCUGCGAUGCCAUCUACACGUGGAUUUUUGUGUCAACUGCUUAUCUC
rnacentral:lncRNA from 1 species